rnacentral:rRNA from 1 species
AACGAACGCUGGCGGCAUGCCUAACACAUGCAAGUCGAACGAGACCUUCGGGUCUAGUGGCGCACGGGUGCGUAACGCGUGAGAACCUGCCCUUAGGUUCGGAAUAACUCCCCGAAAGGGGUGCUAAUGCCGGAUAAUGUCUUCGGACCAAAGAUUUAUCGCCUUUGGAUGGGCCCGCGUUGGAUUAGCUAGUUGGUAGGGUAAAAGCCUACCAAGGCGACGAUCCAUAGCUGGUCUGAGAGGAUGAUCAGCCACACUGGGACUGAGACACGGCCCAGACUCCUACGGGAGGCAGCAGUGGGGAAUAUUGGACAAUGGGCGAAAGCCUGAUCCAGCAAUGCCGCGUGAGUGAUGAAGGCCUUAGGGUUGUAAAGCUCUUUUACCCGGGAUGAUAAUGACAGUACCGGGAGAAUAAGCUCCGGCUAACUCCGUG